rnacentral:rRNA from 1 species
UACAGAGGUCCCGAGCGUUGUUCGGAUUCACUGGGCGUAAAGGGUGCGUAGGUGGUGAGGAAAGUCGGAUGUGAAAUCUCCGGGCUCAACCCGGAAAUGGCAUUGGAAACUACCUUGCUGGAGGAUUUGAGGGGGGAUUGGAAUACUUGGUGUAGCAGUGAAAUGCGUAGAUAUCAAGUGGAACACCGGUGGCGAAGGCGGGAUCCUGGGCCAGUACUGACGCUGAGGAGCGAAAGCGUGGGGAGCAAACAGG